CCUACGGGAGGCAGCAGUGAGGAAUAUUGGUCAAUGGCCGGAAGGCUGAACCAGCCAUGCCGCGUGAAGGUCAGUGCCCUAUGGGCGUUAAACUUCUUUUGUGCGGGAGCAAUAAUGGUCACGUGUGGCCAGACGAGAGUACCGUACGAAUAAGCAUCGGCUAACUCCGUGCCAGCAGCCGCGGUAAUACGGGGGAUGUAAGCGGUAUCCGGAGUUGUUUGGUUUAAAGGGUGCGUAGGCUGUGAGGUAAGUCAGGGGUGAAAUGCCCCCGCUCAACGGGGUGAAGUGCCAUUGAUACUGCCUUGCUGGAAUGCGGAUGCGGUGGGAGGAAUGUGUGGUGUAGCGGUGAAAUGCAUAGAUAUCACACAGAACACCGAUUGCGAAGGCAGCUCACGAAUCCGCGAUUGACGCUGAUGCACGAAAGCGUGGGUAUCAAACAGGAUUAGAUACCCGAGUAGUC
rnacentral:rRNA from 1 species